CCCUAGGGGUCUUGCAGGUGUGUCUGCUGUGUCACAUGAGAAGAGAGGGGCUGUGUUGACGUUCAGUGUUCUGACCAGUGAACAUCUGGAUGAUGUUCUGACCUGUGAACAUCUGGAUGACUAGUAGCCUAACGUU